rnacentral:rRNA from 1 species
AUGAACGCUGGCGGCGUGCCUCAUACAUGCCAGUCGAGCGAACGGACGAGAAGCUUGCUUCUCUGAUGUUAGCGGCGGACGGGUGAGUAACACGUGGAUAACCUACCUAUAAGACUUGGAUAACUUCGGGAAACCGGAGCUAAUACCGGAUAAUAUUUUGAACCGCAUGGUUCAAAAGUGAAAGACGGUCUUGCUGUCACUUAUAGAUGGAUCCGCGCUGCAUUAGCUAGUUGGUAAGGUAACGGCUUACCAAGGCAACGAUGCAUAGCCGACCUGAGAGGGUGAUCGGCCACACUGGAACUGAGACACGGUCCAGACUCCUACGGGAGGCAGCAGUAGGGAAUCUUCCGCAAUGGGCGAAAGCCUGACGGAGCAACGCCGCGUGAGUGAUGAAGGUCUUCGGAUCGUAAAACUCUGUUAUUAGGGAAGAACAUAUGUGUAAGUAACUGUGCACAUCUUGACGGUACCUAAUCAGAAAGCCACGGCUAACUACGUG